rnacentral:misc_RNA from 1 species
GUCAACAUCAGUUUUGCCCUUGUGUGGUAGCCUUAACCCAGAGAAUGUUCAGCACAUAACCAAGGUACGUUUGAACCCUUGGAAAAUCUGUAAUCUUAAUUUUAGGAAGAAGGGGUUAAAGUUUGUAGUGAGAGAGCAGAAAAGUAAUUUUGUUGAUUUUGAUUGGGAGGAUGAAUAUGAAGAUGAGUAUGAAGACGAAGAUUCGCCGUGGGAAGGCGCAGUUGUGUAUAAAAGAAAUUCUUCUGUUACACAUUUGGACUAUUAUACCACAUUAGAAAGGCUGGGGUUGGGCAAGCUCUCCACAAAGGUUUCAAAGUGUCGAGCUUCUGUAAUGGGACUGAGGGUCACAAGACAAGUCAAAGAUUAUCCUGAUGGAACUCCAGUUUUAAUUUCCUUUGAUGUCACAAGGAUGAAGCACAAGUUGAGGCUUGACGGAAUUAUAAGGACUGUCAUCGCACUCCCUUGCAACAGGUGCGGUGAACCAGCUGCAGAAAGUAUCUUUUCAAACUUUUCCCUCCUAUUGAGUGAAGAACCUUUAAAGGAAGCAGAGACCCUGGAUAUGGGCAUAAUGUUUGGAGAUGACAAAUUCAAAAGUUUUGUAAAUGUGGAAGAGGAAAUGGAGGAGAAUGAUGGUUGGAUACCUUUAGAAGACCAGCUGUAUUUUCCUGGUGAUGAAAAAAUGAUUGACAUUUCAAAACAUAUUAGAGAUCUGGUGCACAUAGAAAUCACCAUUAAUGCUGUGUGUGAUCCCAAGUGCAAAGGUUUGUGUCUGAAAUGUGGUGCUAAUCUUAAUGUCAAUAGGUGUAGUUGUCAUAUGGAAAAGAUAGAGGAGAAAGGUUAUGGUCCUCUUGGAGGUCUGAAGAAGCAAAUGCAGCAAACAUGACAUUUUUUGGUGUGUAAUACUUAUUUUUUUAUAAGUUGAAUUGAAAGGUCUUUCCCUUUUGCUUAUUUUUUUU